rnacentral:rRNA from 1 species
AACGAACGCUGGCAGCAGGCUUAACACAUGCAAGUCGAACGCACCGCAAGGUGAGUGGCAGACGGGUGAGUAACGCGUGGGAACCUUCCCUUUGGUACGGAAUAACUUCGGGAAACCGAAGCUAAUACCGUAUAUCUCCUGCGGGAGAAAGAUUUAUCGCCAAAGGAUGGGCCCGCGUUGGAUUAGCUAGUUGGUGUGGUAAUGGCGCACCAAGGCGACGAUCCAUAGCUGGUCUGAGAGGAUGAUCAGCCACACUGGGACUGAGACACGGCCCAGACUCCUACGGGAGGCAGCAGUGGGGAAUAUUGGACAAUGGGGGCAACCCUAAUCCAGCCAUGCCGCGUGAGUGAAGAAGGCCUUAGGGUUGUAAAGCUCUUUUGGCGGGGACGAUAAUGACGGUACCCGCAGAAUAAGCCCCGGCUAACUUCGUGCCAGCAGCCGCCGUAA